CCUUCGGGAUGACCUUGGACGAACGAUUCAACAUCUCAUCUGCCUUGGUCUCUGUGCCUGUGACAUAGAGCUGCAGGGAGAGCAGUGGUCUAUACACUCAGGAGACCAGCGACUCAAUUCUGUGCAAAAAGCAGCUCUUGGGAAAAUGAAACCACAAGGUCUGGACAGAGGACUCCGUCAAUGCUCUGAUAACUCACUGGACACCAAGCGAAGGGAGUGUCAGCUAAUUGUGAAAACCAGGCCAAGUGGCACAUUCCAGUCUUUAUUUUCCUUUAAACGUGGCCACUGAUUGUGUAACCUUGUGAUAGCUGUUGCUCCCUGGUGCAAACGGGACCAUUCUCUCCACCCACAGAUAGAAGUGGAGGCAGGCGCUCAGGACCCGCGGACGGGGCUGUCUUGAGACAGCACCUCUCCUGACAGCCCUUUCCCGGGUCCCUUUUGAUUUUUCCUGGGGACCCAUGCAAGCCACUCCUUUACCUGUCUUCCAGAUUCCUCCUCACCCAUGAUGCCAGUUAACCAUAAGGCCACCCAGGUCAUGGAAUCCAAGAAGUACUUUGGAUUAAGGUUAUCAGUCCAUUCACCUGCUGAAGGACAUCUUGGUUGCUGCAGAUGGCUUCUGAGAUGAGGAAUUCUUUUCUCCUAAGUCUUAAGUGGAAGCUGAUUAUGUAAAUCAGAAUAAAGGCAGAGAUGUUCUCAUUGAAGGAGAAAUAUUUUCCCUUCGACCCACACCCCUCCCAGGAUCCAGAAGCACCUAGGAUACUCUUGGCCUCGCCCGGUCUUGUCCUUGCUGUCAUCGGGGUGACUGGUUCUGUGAUGAGGUCCAACUGGUUCAUGACUGACAGACCUCGUCUCUGAUCCCUUUUGUCCAUCUUGUCUCCUGGCCUGCAUGUGAGUUCCACGUAUUUUAGUGAAGAAAACAAUUGAACAUGAUUUCCUUCUGAGGAUACAGAGUUGAAAAGCUAAUCACAGACGCACAGGUCUCGGUAGGAGAAGCCUUCUGUGUUUUGUGGGGGUCUGGAGCAAGGUGUGAGGAGGGAGGAGGGUGAGGUGUGUAUUCUGGAGAACUGGGGUGAGCUCUGCUUUAAGAAAAUGUAAUAUAAGAAAACUUAUAUUAGUCACAUAAGAAAAUUGGAGGGAGGGUUAUUUUCAUAAGAGUUCACCUCUGAAGAAAAUUUCCCCUCAAUUUUUUAAAUAUAGUAGAAUCCUUCCAGAGAAUAUGGAUUUAUUAUUACUACUAAUAUUAUUAUUAUUAACAACAAAAUAUUACUACUGUGUUUAUUUCUCAGCAAUAAUUCUAUCAUAUGAAUUCAUGUGUUUAUUUUGUAUAUUAAGUGUGCUUGCCUCCCCUCACCUAUUUUCUCCUUUAACUGGUUUCUAAUUGCUUUGGGGGUUUGGAGAAAGUCAAACAGAAUCUCUCAAAAUUGAGACAUUUACUAGGAAGACGUGGUGAUAACAUAAGUUAAAACAGCUUCAUUCUCUUUUCAGUUGUUUCAACCCACCAUUUCCCCUAGUUAGAUGUUAUCUUCUCUUAUACAUUUGAGGCUUUUUCUUUUUCUUUUUUUUAAAUUAAGGUACAAUCAGUUACAAUGUGUCCAUUUCCAGUGUACAGCACAGUGUCCCAGUCAUGCAUGUACAUACAUGUAUUUGUUUUCAGAUUCUUUUUCAUUAAAGGUUAUUACAAGAUAUUGAACAUAGUCCCCUGUGCUAUACAGAAGAAAGUUUUUUAAAAUCUAUUUUUAUAUAUAGUGGCUAACAUUUGUAAAUCUCAAACUCCCAGAUUUAUCCCUUCUGACCCCCUUUUCCCGAUAACUAUAAGAUUGUUUACUAUGUCUGUGAGUCUGUUUCUGUUUUGUAAAUGAGUUCAGUGUCCUUUUUUGUUCUUUUUUUUUUUUUAGGUUCCACAUAUGAGUGAUAUCAUAUGGUAUUUUUAUUUUUUCUUGAGAAAAAGCGUCAAUUGUAUAUUUAUAAAUUUAUAGUUCAUAAAUACAAAUAUAUUUAUAUUUAUACAAUUCAGACUGUUUCUUUGCGUAACCAGAUAUGUCACUUUUCAAGUGUUACUCAUCCACUCAAUGAGCCCUUGUUGUGCAACUGGGAUCAUUGUCAGGGUGUUAAUCCUGCGUCCUGGGAGGAUGCUCCCAUGUGAAUCAACCUCCAGAAUCCAUCGUGCUCAGGACUCAGCCCAGGCACUGCCCCCUGACCUCGCUGGGUGGGAUGCCCAGGUCCUGCAGUUCCUUGGGGCACUCACUUUCCUCCCUGAGCUCACCUAGCGCCUUCCCGGCCCAGCUAUGUGGUAACUUGGCCCUAGCUGUUGACCUGGGGGUCAGGAGGGGAUUUGGGAGGUGACCUGAAGGAGGGCAGGUGCUGCCUUUUGAAGUGGAGGCCCCUUCGUCCCCUCAAGCAGAGGGGGAGGGCUGAUCUUUGGUGGGAGGAGUAGCCAUCGCUGUAGGCCCAGAGGCUCCCCGUGGUUCUGGGGCUCACACUCCACCCUGAGGCUCAGAGUCUCCCUCCUUCCCGGGACUGCAGGCGAGGCAGGUGAGAAUCAGCCUUCCCUUGCCUGCAGCUCCCCGCCCUUGUCAUCAAGCCCUGCUCUCUGCCCUUCGGUUGCAGGGAUGAGUCUAUACGCGGCUAAGGGGGCCCUCUGACUCAGGUAUUUUGGCCUAACUUGGUGACUAACAGCCCUCAGCCUUUCAUUACUUUUCUCAGAUGCUUCCACAGCAUCGGACGACAGCCAUGUUGACUCCAUGAUAUUUAUAAUUGCCCCUCCCUGCCCUCAUCUCUCAGCGUGCCAACCAGAGCACUCCCGCCUUCCAGUGUUCCACCCAGGCCACCGAGGUGGAGUUCUAAUGAGUGCACUGCUUCAGCUGGCCAGGGGCUUUCAGAAUGCCACCUGUCCACCAGCAGCGGGGUCCUCAGGGAAGCCAGCGAGGGGGGAUUCAACCCCCAAAUCCCAUUUCAGACUCUGUUUCCCAGGACCACCUCCACUACCAACUGUGGGAGGUUGGGUUUCCCAGAAAACAGACUCAGAGACUGAGAUUUGCAUGUAAGCGCUUUAUUGAUGUGGGUUUGGGUUUCCAAAGUGAGGAAAGCGGGUCCAGCAGAGGAAGAGGUUGGACUGGGAUGUGUUUGCAAGAGGGACCUCUGCCAGUCCCAUGGGCAGCUCUGGGCUGGGGCCUUCAGAGUCCUCCCAGACUGAGACAAGAGGUUUCCGCCCCCGGAUCAGUCUUUGAAGGUGAGUUCCCUGAGCGAGGGCGAGCCUUGGGCAAAGCA